GAAAUGCGAUAAGUAGUGUGAAUUGCAGAAUUCAGUGAAUCAUCGAAUCUUUGAACGCACAUUGCGCCCCUAGGUAUUCCAUGGGGCAUGCCUGUUCGAGCGUCAUUUGUACCCUCAAGCUCUGAUUGGUGUUGGGUGUUUGUCCCCGUCUCCGCGCGUGGACUCGCCCCAAAGUGAUUGGCAGCCGGCGUACUGGUCCCGGAGCGCAGCACAUGUCGCGCAAACGAGUGCCUUGGUACGGCGGCGUCCAUAAGCCCCUCUCUCACGCUCUUGACCUCGGAUCAGGUAGGGAUACCCGCUGAACUUAAGC
rnacentral:misc_RNA from 1 species